rnacentral:rRNA from 1 species
AACGCUAGCUACAGGCUUAACACAUGCAAGUCGAGGGGCAUCACGAAUGAAGCUUGCUUUAUUUGGUGGCGACCGGCGCACGGGUGAGUAACGCGUAUCCGACCUACCCAUAACACGGGCACAGCCGCUCGAAAGAGUGAUUGAUUCCCGAUAUGUCAUAUGAGUAGAUUAUAUGAUGAAAGAUUUAUCGGUUAUGGAUGGGGAUGCGUAAGAUUAGGUAGUAGGCGGGGUAACGGCCCACCUAGCCGACGAUCUUUAGGGGUUCUGAGAGGAAGGUCCCCCACACUGGUACUGAGACACGGACCAGACUCCUACGGGAGGCAGCAGUGAGGAAUAUUGGUCAAUGGGCGGAAGCCUGAACCAGCCAAGUAGCGUGAAGGAUUACAGCCCUACGGGUUUUAAACUUCUUUUAUAUAAGAGUAAUGUGCACUACGUGUAGUGUAUUGCAAGUAUUAUAUGAAUAAGCAUCGGCUAACUCCGUGCCAGCAGCCGCGGUAAUACGGAGGAUGCGAGCGUUAUCCGGAUUUAUUGGGUUUAAAGGGAGCGUAGGCGGGUUAUUAAGUCAGUCGUCAAAGCCUGUGGCUCAACCACGGCCCGCGAUUGAUACUGGUAACCUUGAGUGCGGAUGAGGUGGAUGGAAUUCGUGGUGUAGCGGUGAAAUGCUUAGAUAUCACGAAGAACUCCGAUUG